CCUGCUGUAGUUAGACCCAAAGCACCUCCCGUGGGGCAUGCAAAGAUCCAUGUGGAUGCUGCAGUCUCAAAAGCGCAGGCAAGGGGGGCAGCAGAUGCAGUUUGUCGAGAUGAGACGGGGAACCUUUUGGGAAGUUCAGCCCUGGUUAUCACGGGAAUAACGGAUGUGGCGACCCUGGAAGUUUUAGCUUGCAGAGAGGGUUUGGCUUUGGCUGAAGAUCUCUUGGUCCAGGACUUUAUCAUCGCCUCCGACUCAAAACAGGUAAUCACUGAUAUUGAGAAGGCAAGCAAAGGGAAUUAUGGGGCCAUCAUCUAUGAAAUUAAGUCUAGAGCUCGAAAAUUUUAA
rnacentral:rRNA from 1 species